GACGAACGCUGGCGGCGUGCUUAACACAUGCAAGUCGAACGGUGAAGCUCCAGCUUGCUGGUGUGGAUCAGUGGCGAACGGGUGAGUAACACGUGAGCAACCUGCCCCUGACUCUGGAAUAAGCGCUGGAAACGGCGUCUAAUACUGGAUACGAGAAGGGUCCGCAUGGGCACUUUCUGGAAAGUUUUUCGGUUGGGGAUGGGCUCGCGGCCUAUCAGCUUGUUGGUGAGGUAAUGGCUCACCAAGGCGACGACGGGUAGCCGGCCUGAGGGGGCGACCGGCCACACUGGGACUGAGACACGGCCCAGACUCCUACGGGAGGCAGCAGUGGGGAAUAUUGCACAAUGGGCGAAAGCCUGAUGCAGCGACGCCGCGUGAGGGAUGACGGCCUUCGGGUUGUAAACCUCUUUCAGCAGGGAAGAAGCGAAAGUGACGGUACCUGCAGAAGAAGCACCGGCUAACUACGUG
rnacentral:rRNA from 1 species